UACGAAGGGGGCGAGCGUUGUUCGGAAUUACUGGGCGUAAAGGGCGCGCAGGCGGUCCUUCAAGUCAGAUGUGAAAGCCCCGGGCUCAACCUGGGAACUGCAUUUGAGACUGGAGGACUUGAGGACGGGAGAGGAGAGUGGAAUUCCCAGUGUAGAGGUGAAAUUCGUAGAUAUUGGGAAGAACACCGAUGGCGAAGGCAGCUCUCUGGACCGUUACUGACGCUGAGGCACGAAAGCGUGGGGAGCAAACAGGG
rnacentral:rRNA from 1 species